AAAAUGCGAUAAGUAGUGUGAAUUGCAGAAUUUAGUGAAUUAUUAAAUUUUUAAACGCACAUUACGCCCCUUAGUAUUUUAUAGGGCAUGCCUGUUUAAGCGUUAUUAACACCCUUAAGCUCUGCUUAGUGUUGGGCCGUUGUCGUUCCGUCACCCCUCUAGCGAUGCAGCGACACGCCUUAAAGUUAUUAGCGGCCUUUCUGCCUAGCUUCUCGCGCAGCAGUUCGCGCUUCGGAGGCUCCUUAGCAGGCUGGCAUCUAUUAAGCUGACCCCCUUACGCUUAACCUUAGAUUAGGUAGGGAUACCCGCUGAACUUAA
rnacentral:misc_RNA from 1 species